AUGGCAUGGAGAGUCCAGAGGCUGAGGACAAUGCAGUCCCAGGCCACCAUGGAGGGACAACUGGAUGUGGAGCUGCCUGCUGGAAAGGAUCAGCUGCAGAAGGCCAGUGGUGACAACAGGCUACAGAUUGCCACAAUGAAGAACAGCUGCUACCCUUGCCCGAUCCAUGGAGAGUGGAGCAGAGGGAGGCACAAAGGAGAGGGAGCCCUGUUGCCCUGUUCAUGAAUGGGCUUGAAGUCUCCAGAAAGGAUAAUACCUGAAAACCACCAUUGAGAUUCAAUUCUCAAUUCACCAUUGAAUUGAAUCUUCAAUUCACCAUUGAGAUUCAAUAUGGAAGGAAAAGCCAAGAAAAGAAAAAAUAGAGUUCAAAAUGAGCCAGAUCUGCAGAGAAAAAUAAAUCAGGACAUUUUCCUACAAUUCACCCCUAUUGGAGAAACAGCAAGACUCAGGAUGCUGCCAACUGCUCCAUUAUUAAGUGCCUUCUUCAAUCUCAUGAUCCAGGGCAAAACUGCUUUUAAGUGCUGGACAAGAACUCCAGAUGCCGACUCUGCAAACUUUCCCUACCAUUUUGGUAUAUAAUAUAUUUAUAUAUUAGCCAGAUUUGUUUAAUUCUUAGUUUUCUUAGCAAGUGGCUAGUAAGGCAACACAUGAAUAUUCUGAAAAUAUUUACUUGAAAAGACCAUGUUUGUUUCUGUAAGCAUUGGAAAUAAGUCAAUUUUUAUUUUAUAUUCAUGAACGUAAUCCCUUUUAUAUAAUUACUUUUUAACUGCAUGAUAAGACAUUGUUUU